rnacentral:rRNA from 1 species
CCUACGGGAGGCAGCAGUGGGGAAUCUUCCGCAAUGGGCGAAAGCCUGACGGAGCACCGCCGCGUUAUCGAAUGAAGACCUUCGAGUUGUAAAGAUCUGUUGACAGGGACGAAUAAGCAAUGCAAAUAGCUUUGUGUAUGACGGUACCUGUUUAGAAAGCUCCGGCUAACUACGUGCCAGCAGCCGCGGUGAUACGUAGGGAGCAAGCGUUGUCCGGAAUUACUGGGCGUAAAGGCAGCGUAGGUGGGCGCUUCAGUCAGGUGUGAAAACUCCGGGCUCCAACUGGAGACUGCACUUGAAAGUGGGUGUCUUGAGGGCAGGAGAGGAAAGUGGAAUU